AGACCCGAAACCCGGUGAUCUAGCCAUGGGCAGGUUGAAGGUUGGGUAACACUAACUGGAGGACCGAACCGACUAAUGUUGAAAAAUUAGCGGAUGACCUGUGGCUGGGGGUGAAAGGCCAAUCAAACCGGGAGAUAGCUGGUUCUCCCCGAAAGCUAUUUAGGUAGCGCCUCGUGAAUUCAUCUCCGGGGGUAGAGCACUGUUUCGGCUAGGGGGCCAUCCCGGCUUACCAACCCGAUGCAAACUGCGAAUACCGGAGAAUGUUAUCACGGGAGACACACGGCGGGUGCUAACGUCCGUCGUGAAGAGGGAAACAACCCAGACCGCCAGCUAAGGUCCCAAAGUCAUGGUUAAGUGGGAAACGAUGUGGGAAGGCCCAGACAGCCAGGAUGUUGGCUUAGAAGCAGCCAUCAUUUAAAGAAAGCGUAAUAGCUCACUGGUCGAGUCGGCCUGCGCGGAAGAUGUAACGGGGCUAAACCAUGCACCGAAGCUGCGGCAGCGAACGUAUCACUUAAAGCGAUUCAGCGGAUGACGAUUGACGGAGCGAAGCGACGUCAAAGCGUAUACAAAGUCGAGUCGGUUUAAGGAUACGUUCGUUGGGUAGGGGAGCGUUCUGUAAGCCUGUGAAGGUGG
rnacentral:rRNA from 1 species